ACUCCUACGGGAGGCAGCAGUGGGGAAUAUUGCACAAUGGGCGCAAGCCUGAUGCAGCCAUGCCGCGUGUGUGAAGAAGGCCUUCGGGUUGUAAAGCACUUUCAGUUGUGAGGAAAGGUUAGUCGCUAAUAUCGGCUAGCUGUUGACGUUAGCAACAGAAGAAGCACCGGCUAACUCCGUGCCAGCAGCCGCGGUAAUACGGAGGGUGCGAGCGUUAAUCGGAAUUACUGGGCGUAAAGCGCGUGUAGGUGGCUUGUUAAGCCAGAUGUGAAAG
rnacentral:rRNA from 1 species